CAGUCGCCGCGGUAAUACGUAGGUGGCAAGCGUUGUCCGGAAUUAUUGGGCGUAAAGGGCUCGCAGGCGGUUUCUUAAGUCUGAUGUGAAAGCCCCCGGCUCAACCGGGGAGGGUCAUUGGAAACUGGGAAACUUGAGUGCAGAAGAGGAGAGUGGAAUUCCACGUGUAGCGGUGAAAUGCGUAGAGAUGUGGAGGAACACCAGUGGCGAAGGCGACUCUCUGGUCUGUAACUGACGCUGAGGAGCGAAAGCGUGGGGAGCGAACAGGAUUAGAGACCCGCGUAGUCCCUGUCUCUUAUAA
rnacentral:rRNA from 1 species